rfam:Cricetulus griseus cell line CHO-K1, whole genome shotgun sequence.
GUAAGUGAUGUGUUGCCUAGCAGCAACAUCUGUCACUCCUCUGAUCACCAGGGUUUAUUAGGCUGAUAAAGUGGGCUAGACAGGUGUCCCCUUCCUCCCUCACUGUUUCAUGUAUGUCCCUCCUAAAGCAUCAUGCUAGGUUGAGAAGAACAGCCUUUAUGGAUAGAGCAUAGCCUUUCUUCAGCCAAGGGUAUGAGUAGCUGUGCUCCCCUAAUAGUAUCUCUAAAUAAGCAUUCGACCUCAGCACUAUUGACACUUAGGGUCAGAUGAUGUUGUGGUUUUUGUUCUGUGUGAAACAGAACAUUCUUU